rnacentral:lncRNA from 1 species
ACUGACAGAAUGAGCUUCCAAGGCCCAGGAGACAAUGGAAUCUCACUCUGUCACCCAGACUGGAGUGCAGUGGCCCGAUCUCAGCUCACUGCAGCCUCCGCUUCCCAGGUUCAAGCGAUUCUCCUGCCUCAGCCUUCCAGGCAGCUGGGAUUACAGAUUAGUAAUUUUCCCAAGACCCUCCAAACAGAACCAAAACUCCUCAAAAGCGAAGCCAAGCACAGCUGUGGACCUUGUGGUAUACCCCAAGAUGCUCAGCCCAGAGCCCCCAACCCCUGCUCAGCUGUGUGACCUGGCCUGAAUCUCUCUGGGCCCCAUCUGUCCAAUCUGCAUCUGCCAACUUGCCACAGUCCCUGGACAACCUCUCACCCAAUCCUUCCCAGUCAGCCUUGCUAUUCCCUCCGGGCUCCAUACCUGUUUCCUGUACCUCCCGCCUGUAUUUCCUGUAUCCUGCCCCACAUUACAGCACUGAAACCCUCA